AUGUUAACCCACAGAAUCCAAGGAGAAUGGCCAACCAGUGGGGCAGCUCACUUCUACAUUGCUGAAAUGCCUGUUCCUUCCUCGGCCCUGCCUCCCGCUGAGCAGAAGAAGGUCAGCUCCUGGGUCACCCUCAGCCUUGGUGCUCAGUGGUCCCCACCCAGACCCUUACCCCUCCCCAGUUGUUUAUCCGGUAGCCCAAGACAAGGCAGAGCCCCAGCACCUUUGUGCCCCCAGAGCUCUGUGAGAGAAACUGGCCAGCUGCGGCCACAUCUGCCACCAGUGAAACAAGGCAGGACUCUGUGGGACCUCAUCCGUCUUUGUUCAUUGGGCGCUGCUGUGCCCUAUAGUAUUUAACUACACAGGGCUAGGGUGUGGCUCUCAGGUUCCUGGGCCUGCAGCGGGAUCACUAAAUUUAAGGCUUCCAGAUCCCUGGCAGGAAUAGAUCCCAAACCUGCAUACUCAAUACUUUUGCUCCAAACUUUUGAACUUGAGGGCAAUACUAAACUUAAAAAUAAGAGAUAGGUUUGUCUGUUUGUUUGUUUGUUUGUUUUUUUACAAAAUUAUUUUUAUGGUCCCUUUAACGAGGACCCUAUGGCAAAUGCACAAUUAUUCAGAAUUACAUUUUAUCGUUUUCACAUUGAAAACAGCAAAUGUUGACUUAGUAAUUUUUAUAUGUAUAUGUAUAUGUCUAUUUAAUCAACCAGCAGUUUUGAAAUAAGUCCUCCUGGUACAGAACUUUUGCAGCAUCACAUAAAUUAUAGUGCUAAACACAAGAACUGUUUUUGGGGCCAGUUUAGAAUUUGUACCUGCUCCUUUUGCUACUCAAAACAAUGCUUUGUGGUGACCUUUCCACAGGGCAGAAGGGGUCUUCAUUUUCCAGAAACAGUGACUGAAAUGCCAGGAUGGGAUGAGGGAUGGGAAAUAUGAACUUGAGGCUCACGUGCCAAAGUGUGUGUGUGUGUGUGUGUGUGUGUGUGUGUGUGUGUGUGUGUGUGUGUGUUUCGGUUUUCUUUGCUUUUGUUUUUUAAAUGUUUAAAAGCUUAAUAGGUUGGCACCAGUUGUAGCCCACAAAUAUAGGCAGGGCUUUGGGGAAUUGGCAUUUUUCUCGUGGUUUACAAGACAUAGUCUGAACAUAAAAGCUUUAAAAACAAGAUAGCUUGGGGCUGAGGGUAUAAGCUCAAUGGUAGAGCACUUGCCUAGCAUGCGAGGGACCUUGGGUUCCACCCUCAGUACCUCCAAAAAAAAAAAAAAAAAAAAAGAUAACAUUGUAACUACAGGAACAGAACAGUCUGCAUGUUACACUUCCAUGGGCCAUGUAAGAAAAUGCAAAGCCCUUUGAUGAAAUGAGUGGUGGGAAAUUAUUUUUAUUCUUAAGUGAUUUUCCUUUUCAUGACAUGUACUAUAUGUUACUGAGUCUGUAUGUUGAGGAACCCGUAACACAUUCAACAAUGGGGCCGUAACUCAGGUCUCACUGCUGAGGGGGCUUGAACCACCAGUGGUACAUGCGUGACAGUUCCAUGCAUGACUUCCACUUCUGCCACCUGUGGCAUAAGCUGCCCAGUGGAGCAGCCAUGCAUGUACCACUGGUGGUUCAAGCUAUUGGGGACAUGUUAAAAGAGCAGAAUUCAGGGAAAUAGCCAGAGGGUACUUGUGAGAUCUAAAUUUUCUGGUCCAGAGACUAUGAAGAGGUACAGCCUACCCAUUCAGUGAGGGCAGGGCUUGGAGCCCCUAAAAAAAUCACUCUGCUAACUUUGGUGGGAAAAGAAUGCACAUCCAUUCCCAGAGAUGCAUUGAGAAUGUUUUCUGAUUCUUAAUAUUCAAGCUGGGCACAAUAACACGCCCAUAGUCCUAGCACUGAGGAGCUCAGGCAACUUAGUGAGACCUUGUCUUCAAAAAAGAAAACCACUGAAAUUCAACAAGGCAUUGAAUGUCUGGCUCUGGUCAGACUGCUGGUUCACACUCAAAAGAUGCUCACCCUUGCUCCAUUAAACUGGGAAAUAUCCCGGAAGAAUAAAGGAGGCAUGUAGCUAGGCUGGCUUUCCUCAGAUGGCACUUGCAUCCCCUUCACCUCUCCUGGCAUAUCGGGAGGCAGUGGCAUUUCCCAGCCCCGCAAGGGAUGUCAGCCCACUUAGCAGCAGGUGGUCAUCCCCAGUGUUGUGGCUGUGUAUGUAGCAAUGAGUGGUGCACCAGUGGGCAUGGAGGGACACUUUCAGGUACUGCUGGUGUCUGUUACAGGGAUUCUUCCUUUUCUCCUUAGCUAGGUAAUUAAGUGCACCAGUUCUAAAAAAAAAAUGAAAACAUGGUACCUUUACCAGAUCCUUCACACAUGUCUGUGAUAAAAAUUGACUAAAGUCUGCCCAGUGAGCAGAGGGGUUGGACUAAGCAUUUCUCCACUUCCUCUUAAUAACGCCCAAAAUCAAUACCAACUCUUUUUCUCUCUGUCCCUGAAGGACCUUGGGGAAAUCAUCUCCCUAUGUAUUUGUUCUUUCCUGAACCUUCUUAGUGGUUUACAUGCCUCUGAUCCUAUGUGCAAUAUUUUUGGUGAAUAUUUGUAUUCGUUGUCAAGAGAUAACACAGUUUGCAGGUUUCUUACUGUCUUCUUCCACCCCAAACAAACCUGCCAUGAGGGGGGAUCCUUCAGGGUUUGGUUCUUACCCCACUACUUAGAAGGCUUCCAUUUUGCUGGCCCCAGCCUCGUCCCUCCUUUCUACCCACUUGUCCUUUUAAAAUUUGUGUAGGGUUUCAGCUGCAGUCCACAAGUAACUAGACAAUACCUAAUGUUAAGUAGAACAUCAAUCUGUGCUGGUUCUGUUGAUGAUGCUGAAAUCACAAACUCCAGGAAAGCAAAGGGGUUUCCAAUGUCUUUUGCUUUCAGAAGCAGGGAGUUUAUAUUCUCUUAAGGCCUUGAAUUAAUUUUUUUCCUCAUAAAAUAGUCUGAUAAGCUAAUUUUUAAGAAAGAAAUGCCAUUAAAUAUGUUGCGUUGUGGUUUUAAAAUUACUAACAAGUUCUGGGAAAGAAAAGUAAUAUUUGAUUUUUAAAAUGUUUUUUAAAAUUAGAUUUGAAUGGGCGUAAAAUAUGAGUAUUUUGUUUCUUUAAGGAGGACAUAGAAAUGGUUUGAGGGUUUGGGUUGGGAGAAGUAUUUUGCAGAGCUAUCAAUGUCCAAAUAAUUUUUAAAAAAUAAAAGUAUUUAAGCAGCGUGUGUCUAUUUCUAAAUCGCAACAAUCCUGUCACAAAAAUCAGUUGCUUCCUAGCCCUGUGGCUACAGAGCACUCUAGGGCUGCGCAGAAACUGUGUGGGCCAGGAACAGGCUGAGGCCCUCUCUGGGGAACUGUUAACAGUGGUCUGCUCGUUCCUUUUCAUCCUGGAGGUCUUCAGCCAACAAUUCCAUUUUAUUUCUGUUUUCCCUUCUCCCCUCCCCUUCUGUAGUGGAAAUAAACCCAGGGGAACUACCACUGAGCUACAUCCCCAGUCCCUCUUUUAUGUUUUCAUGCUGGCCUUGAAUUCACUGGGUAGUCCAAGCUGGCCCUAGCCUCCCACAUGCUGGUAUUACAAGCGUGUGCCACCAGUCCC
ensembl:lincRNA